UACGUAGGGGGCUAGCGUUGUCCGGAAUCAUUGGGCGUAAAGAGCGUGUAGGCGGCCCGGUAAGUCCGCUGUAAAAGUCAAAGGCUCAACCUUUGAAUGUCAGUGGAUACUGCCGGGCUAGAGUCCGGAAGAGGCGAGUGGAACUCCUGGUGUAGCGGUGGAAUGCGCAGAUAUCAGGAAGAACACCAACGGCGAAGGCAGCUCGCUAGGACGGUACUGACGCUGAGGUGCGAAAGCGUGGGGAGCAAACAGG
rnacentral:rRNA from 1 species